UAAACCCCAACUUCUGAAUGUUGACCUCGGAUCAGGUAGGAAUACCCGCUGAACUUAAGCAUAUCAAAAGGCCGGGAGGAAUA
rnacentral:rRNA from 1 species